UCGAGGGCACAGGACGAUCCUCUCGAUCCACGAUGCGACCUCUCCCUCUGCUCGCGCUCCGGCACCGCCCCCAUCUCCCACUCCGGCGCCGCCCCUACAGCUCCGCUGGCCCGACCCCUUCUUCGGGCGCGUCGGCAGGAGCAGAUCCACCUCUCCACUCCAUAUCGCGACAGCGCUCCAGACCCCCACCCCCACGCCCGGCCGCUGCUAGGGUAUCUUACCCUCGCUGCCCCGCCGCAACCUCUCCUUGCUUUCCUCCACCCCCGCCCCACUGUUCGCCCUCUCAUUUUCCGAUCUGGAAAGCGGGAGAGGAUGAGCUGAUCUCAAAAUACGGGUGCCGAGAUGGAUUUGGAUCUCAAGGUGGGGAGGCCAACGUAGCCGCCCCUAGCGCGUCGAGCUCUGCAGGUACUCCUGGUGUGCGUGGGUAGGAAGGUACCUGCAGUAGAUGGCCUUCUUCAUUGUUUGCCCCCUGUCUGCCUCCCUGCACCGAGAUCCAUCUGCUCCGGGCCAUGACUGAGAACCAGCGAUGCUGCCAAGUAAUUUCUAAAACACCUGGUCCAGAUUGAUUUGUCGAGGGUUAAAUUUCUCUGAUUAUUCAAAGGAGCGCAGGGGCAUCAUGUAUCAGUGAGGUACUAAAAACACUGAUGUACUCCAUUCCAUUGGAGAAACUUCAGCGAGGAGCACGCAGUGCAGGAUGCAGAUGUCGCGAGUACGCGGCUUAGUUAUUGUGCAUUCCGCUUCAUACAAUCCUUGUAGAAUAUGUUUCUACUAAUGCUGCUGUGUUUUGAACAUUCCCAGUUGCACAUGGUUCAUGUAUUGCUAGAUCGACAACAAGUCCCUCCCGUCAGCCUACCUUUACGACAUUACAAGGAGUCAAGUUGAACCUGAUGUAUUAGUGAUGACAUUGCAAUCCAGAACCUAGAUCGCCACUUUUGAACCUACCAUUGAUCAGGCUUGAAUUUGCCAUGGCUGUAAAUCGCCACUCUGGAACUUCAAUUUUGAGGAGUUAUUUUUCUGCACCCACACCUUGAGGCUGUUGUUCGUCCGCCUCUUGACUUCGUAGUGACCAGCAUUCAUUCUACAGGUGAACGGACUUCAAUUCAAGGAAUUAUUUUUCUGUGCCCAGCAAGUGCCAGCUUCAUUCAAUUUGAGUAAGUAGGAGUGGAGAUCAAAGGGUUGUGCGGUCCGUCAAGGGUCGUAGGGGAGAAAUAUUGGAGCCCCCUGCUGUACCGCGUUGCUGCCGCACCGGGAGGGCGUGAAGAUAAAGUUUCAGGGCCGCAGCUGGAGAGAGCGGCGACGCCCAAAUAAUCAUGUGUUGAAUGCUAAAUGUAACACUUCAUUUUUUUAUGUUCACAUAACCAACCAAUGCAAAUUGAGAUGGACUUCUUGAACUAUGUACUCCUGAUGAUUUUUCAUUGCUAUGUUUCCCAGUUGAGUUUUGGACCCUUGUGAUUUUAUUUUUCUUUCAGCUAGGCGCCUACAGAUCAACAACAUGCAUGCAUCCGCAGCUACAUUACAUUUGUAAUUUUCAGGGAGAUCUUCUUUUUUCAUUAAUUCUCAUGGAGAUCGAAUUAUGUGAUAUUGUGCUAUUGGCAGAGACAUUGCAAUCUUAUAUUUGCCCAAAAAUUAGCAAGGUGCGUUCUCUAUUCCCCUCUAUUUUUCAAGUUAAUGCCUAAUAUCCCACCACUUUACAUUUUCUAUCUGCUGAAUCAUUCAUCUGCUCAAUCAAGAAGCACCUUCCUGUUAGCUUGGGCAAUCUGAAUCGGCCAUCUGUCUAUUAUGGCUGCACAUUAAUGUUUGCUACAUAUGUUAUAUGUAGAUUGGUUUACAUGAAUACAGAGUAGCACUACAUGUAUAUUGAUGGAGAAACUAUUGUUCAGCUAUGCAUUUGAAGUGUAGGCUAUUAUUCUCAUAUUUUUGGCUUCGAUUCUCAAGUGCGAGGAUUACUUCUCUACUAAUGAUAUUUGGUCGUUUGUCCAAGUUUAAAUGUGUAGGCUACAAUAUGUAUGUUUUGCCAUUGUAAAAGUUAUCUGUCACAAAAAACUAAAAACACAUGGUUUCUUAGUUGCCAGUCUAUAUCUCAAAUGCUUUUUGAUUUUUACGUUUUGAUAAAUGCAUUGUCGACGAUAAUUAUUCUUUCUAAGUAACCUCCUUAAUUUUUAAGCUAACAAGGCAGAAAAUGUCUACUGUUCAGGAUAAACCAGAAAUUGCGACAAAGAGUUGGUAAGUGCUUUCACAACUGCUACAGUUCUGAACCAAUGUUGUGUUCUACAGUAUUAUAUUCUUGGAAAAGAAUUCCGUCAUUUAUUUAUUUCUUUGUUAUUGAUGUAAUGUUCAACUGAUUAUAGAAAUGGUUUUUUUAUGUUGACUACAAUCAUGAAAGAAGGAAAAUGUUUAUGAUAAUGUACUGCAAAUUGGCUUCUUGCUUGAUCAUCCUAACCAAGAAGACUUUGAUAGCGCCAUUGGCUUUUUAUAUGUGCCAAUAAAAUUAGCAGGCCGAUGCAGCUCCGGGCUAUUGAUAAUGGAGUUUCAGGAUCCUUCCUCUGAGCACCCACUCACAGAAGAAUCAGCAGCGCGCCACGCAGAUGGAACCUGACCGAGAUCACGGGAUGCUUCCUUACAGGGCUCACCAAGAUUGAUAUUCUGAACUUUUUUGUAAACAAAGUGAAGAGUGGGACAUGAUCUACACUUGUGCUAAUAUAAAAUAUACAGUACUUGUGUAGGUGCAGGUUUUGUUUUAACAUUCCAAUUGUUGUUUAUCCUUUUGUCGCUGAAAAUUCUUUACUAAUGAUGACAUUCAUUUUAUUUCUUCUAGAUGUAUCUCGAUCCACUAUGUCCAAUCAUAAGGUGAAAAUGGCGGCACAACAGCCCGGAGGAGACGGCGGUGAGCCCCCCUCCUCCAACUGAGCAAUCCACCAGGCGGCGGCACGAACGACCUUCAUCUCUAGAUGCUUCCCUGCACACCAAUGAGAUUCACGCCGAUAAUCUUGACUCCUGACCAAUGUCCUUCAGGCCUGAAGUCCCUGUAGUACCCAAGGUCGAGUGAUCACUGCUGCGCCUCGCUGUGUCCUGACUCCUGACUGAUGUCCUUCAGCCUCCGGUAGCUCAUUCACUUUUUAGUGUUCCAUCUCCUUCUGUCAAGGUUUAAUGUUCUUGUACUAUUUUUCUGAGACAUGGUCACAGUUUCUUUUUGCAUAAUUUUUUUAAAGAAAUCAAAAAUAUUGUUAUGUAAUGUUUAGUAUCUCUUUGUACCUCUGAUUUAUGCACCAAACUAGAGGGGGCCAUGAAGGCAUGGAUGUUCAAUAUUUUUUCCAAUAAUAUAUGGUGAAAAACAAUUUGAUUUUCGUAUACUUGUGUCUUUCAUGUUCACUUGGUCCAUUAGUUUAUUUUUUCUUGAACUUCUAUUUGGAAGGACGCAAAUUGAUCAGAUGUAACCAUCUCCACAUCUCAGUGCCAGACUAUUGUUACAUUGGCACAUAUUAUUCUGAUAUGUAAUAUUCUGAAUAAUAAUUUGAUUAUGUCCAAGUGAACAGUAGAAGAAUUAUCUGUCAGUGCAUAGAGUAUUUUCGACUUUCACCAUCGAGUCUUUGUAGGUAAGUUGUAUUUGUUUAAUCUACUGACACCUGCAUAUUUGAUAUGAAAUGCAGCAAGGGCCACAACUAAUUGAUGUUCUCAUAAUGCUAUCAUAAUGGUAUGCUUUCUCAUCUGUACUGGUAAUUGUUCAGACAUAAAUGCAUUAUGGUCAUGGGAGAACAAUACUCAUAUUGAUUACCCUCCUGGUGAGUAAUAUUUUAUUCUAAGUAUUCAGUUGCCUGCAAAAUAAUUCUGUAAUAGACAUCUAACUGCAUGUUGUUGUGUGACCUGCAUCUAAACUGAGAACAGAAACAACAAACUGCUUGAAACUCGGCGUCUUUAUAUUUGCCCUCAUUUGUUGAGGUUCAGUUUCACAAAUUAGACACACUAUGGACCUGAUAGCGUUUUUCUUUUAGUUUAGGCAUCCAUACAACCUGGAGAAACUGCGUCAUUUGAGCACAAGAACAUCUAAGGUCUAAACAGAUGUACUGUUGAUUCUGCUACAUUCAGCAACCUGAUGAACGCCUCAAGGUAAUGAAUGUUUUUUAGGAGCCAUCUUGUUUCUUUAUUUUGGUUAUUUGACUGAUGCUAGACCUUGGUCACUUGAUGACAAACACACACACAUGCACACACGCACACGCGCGCAGUACUUGUAGGCGAGUUCAGCAUGAUAUUCCUGAACUAGGGUCAUUGCUCUGUUCCUAAGAUACAAUGGGUUGUUUAUUCAUUCAAAUUGCAUCUACCAGUGAUGGUUCCAGUUUUUGUGUCCCAUCUCCUUUUGGAGGCCUACUUCAUAUUCUAAUUUGAAUACUGUCCACUCAUGCUUUUAGGAAGCGGAUGAAAUGCUAAGAUGGUUUAAAUAUUGAACUGAGAAAAUAUAGGUUUGAGAUUCUUUUUACUGAAAUAUAUUUGCAAUGUAGAAGGAUUCAUUAAAUAAAUACCUAGUUAGAAUAUGCAGGGUUUACAUAUAUUUUGCAAAUCGGAGGACACUCUCUCUGCCUUUAGAUGUAGGGUUAUUAGGUUAAUUUUCUUGCAAGGAAAAAUAUGAUCUUCAACGCAGGAAGGCAUGGAUUCAGUGGCAAAAACUUCGAUUAGGAUGCGGCCCUCUAGGUAGGAAGGCAUGGAUUCAACGGCAAAAAAUUUGGUCGGGAUGCAGCUCUUUAGGCAAGAUGGCAUAGAUCCACAGCAAGAACAUCAAUCAAGCAAGAACAUCAAUCAGGAUGGAUUCAACCAGUGUGCUAGAUCGUUGGAUGACAUAAUACAGUUAUGAUGUGGGUCGAAGGUGGUACUCUAGCUCCAACCAAACUCCGGCUCAUCCGACCUCCAGUUUAGGUUCACUAUUCAUCAAUUUUAGUGCUACGUAUUCCUAUUUGGAUUAUACUUGGUGCAUAAAAUUAAUGAAUCGGGAAAUUAUUAUUUUUGUUUGAUAGGGCCUUAGUCUAUUUGUAAUCAGAUAUAACCAUCUGAUCCAUGAUUGUUCUUGGGCAUCAUAUUUCAAAAUAUUCUUUUUUUGGAUUUUGUAAAGGUUGUAGAUAACAAGCCGGUGGGAGCUAAUGGUUCAGUUAGACCCUGCA